rnacentral:siRNA from 1 species
UAUAUUUAUAAUGGAUCGGAGCGG